rnacentral:rRNA from 1 species
UGUAAGCGUAUACCAAAGUUGUUGCAGUUAAAACGCUCGUAGUCGGAAUUUGGCAGUUCCGGAUGUGUGCACGUCGUGUGCGCACUUCGCGGGGAUUGCUUUUGUGGUCUUGCGUAGGAUGAGGCACUUUUAUUAGUGAACGUCCUCACGCAACCACUUUUUACUGUGAGAAAAUCAGAGUGCUCAAAGCAGGCAUUUGCCGUGAACGUAUUAGCAUGGAAUAAUAGAAUAGGACUUGGUUCUAUUUUGUUGGUUUGUUGGGACUGAGUAAUGAUUAAGAGGGACAGUUGGGGGCAUUUGUAUUUCGGUGCUAGAGGUGAAAUUCUUGGAUUACCGAAAGACAAACUGCUGCGAAAGCGUCUGCCAAGGAUGUUUUCAUUGA